AGAGUUUGAUUCUGGCUCAGAACGAACGCUGGCGGCAGGCCUAAAACAUGCAAGUUGAACGGCCAUAGCAAUAUGGCAGUAGCGCAAGGGUGAGUAAUGUAUGGGAACGUAUCUUUUGGUGGGGAAUAUUCUUUGGAAACGAAGAGCAAUACCGCAUAAGCCCUACGGGGGAAAGAUUUAUCGCCGAUUGAGCGGCCCAUAUUGGAUUAGCUAGUUGGUUAGGUAACGGCUGACCAAGGCUGUGAUCCAUAGCUGGUCUGAGAGGACGAUCAGCCACACUGGGACUGAGACACGGCCCAGACUCCUACGGGAGGCAGCAGUUAGGAAUAUUGGACAAUGGGGGCAACCCUGAUCCAAGCCAUGCCGCGUGAGUGUUAAGGCCUUCGGGUUGUAAAGCUCUUUUGUAUGGGAAAAUGAUGAUGGUACCAUAAGAAUAAGCACCGGCUAACUUCGUGCCAGCAGCUGC
rnacentral:rRNA from 1 species